UACAGAGGGUGCGAGCGUUAAUCGGAAUUACUGGGCGUAAAGCGCACGUAGGCGGCUUGGUAUGUCGGGUGUGAAAUCCCCGGGCUCAACCUGGGAACUGCAUCCGAAACUGCCUUGCUAGAGUAUGGGAGAGGGAAGUGGAAUUUCCGGUGUAGCGGCGAAAUGCGUAGAUAUCGGAAGGAACAUCAGUGGCGAAGGCGGCUCACUGGCUCAUUUCUGACGCUCAGGCGCGACAGCGUGGGGAUCAAACAGG
rnacentral:rRNA from 1 species